rnacentral:tRNA from 1 species
AUGGCCGAGUGGUUAAGGCGGUGGACUUAAGUUCCACUGGAGGAAUCUCCGCUAGGUUUCGAAACCUGU